GGCUUCGUUGCUCAGCUGGAAAAGCGCUUGCCACGUUGAGGCAUAGUGUUUCUGUCGCUGGUUCGAAUCCAGCCGAAGCCC
rnacentral:tRNA from 1 species